rnacentral:rRNA from 1 species
AUUAAACGCUGGCGGCAUGCUUUACACAUGCAAGUCGAACGGCAGCGGGGAGGAGCUUGCUUCUCUGCCGGCGAGUGGCGCACGGGUGAGUAAUACAUCGGAACGUGUCGAGAAGAGGGGGAUAACCACCCGAAAGGGUGGCUAAUACCGCAUAAAUUCUGAGGAAGAAAGCUGGGGACCUAGGAAUAGGCCUAGCGCUUUUUGAGCGGCCGAUGUCGGAUUAGCUAGUUGGUGGGGUAAAGGCUCACCAAGGCGAAGAUCUGUAGCGGGUCUGAGAGGAUGAUCCGCCACACUGGGACUGAGACACGGCCCAGACUCCUACGGGAGGCAGCAGUGGGGAAUUUUGGACAAUGGGGGCAACCCUGAUCCAGCCAUGCCGCGUGUAUGAAGAAGGCCUUAGGGUUGUAAAGUACUUUUGUUAGGGAAGAAAAGUCAGCUGUGAAUAAUGGCUGAUACUGACGGUACCUAAAGAAUAAGCACCGGCUAACUACGUG